GGCCCGGGGCCGCCGCCUGGGAACUUCCCAGCACGCACUCAGCCGCUCUGCUCCUCACCCUCAAUUGUUGAUGAGCCUGGGCGCUCGUCAAUGCACCGAAGACAACCUAUUCUGCUUUCUUAGAGACGGAGCUGAGAAAUGAGCUGCCCAAGGAAUUUGGCGAUGAGAGUGAAAGGCAGUUUGGCGCCAGCAGCCAAGUUGUAGAAUUGCUUUGGAGGAGGCUGCCCGGGGUGCACAAGAGAAUUGACAAGAACAGACACCGUUGCAGACCAAAGGCAUGCCUGAUUGCACUUGAGUCAGAUCGCUGGGACGCAGCCUCUGCUCUAACUAUUUGUGGCCGAAUAAAGGAAAGGAGACUAGAAACAGGACUGCCAGUGGUAUUCCUAAAAGGAAAACAAGGACACUCCAGAAGGAGGGGGAAAACAGCCCAGCUGGUGUGUGCAUUUUUUUUUUUUUUUUUAAAGGAGAAUCCCUCAGGCCCCAACCUUGGCAUAGCCAACCUGCUUAAAUUGAGAAUUAAACCUUCUCUGGAGCUCUGCCACUCUUACGAUUAAUUCCUGAGGCUGGUGCUCAACUUUUUCUGCAUCUGCUGCAAGAGUUACGCCAGCACUUAGACUUGCCACAGAUCAAGUUACCAAUUGCUUCUGUUGUGUUCACUUAUUCCCAGAUGCUCUUUGAG
rnacentral:lncRNA from 1 species